rnacentral:rRNA from 1 species
UACGAAGGGGGCUAGCGUUGUUCGGAUUUACUGGGCGUAAAGCGCACGUAGGCGGCUUGUUAAGUGAGGGGUGAAAUCCUGGAGCUCAACUCCAGAACUGCCUUUCAUACUGGCAAGCUAGAGUCCGGAAGAGGUGAGUGGAACUCCUAGUGUAGAGGUGGAAUUCAUAGAUAUUAGGAAGAACACCAGUGGCGAAGGCGGCUCACUGGUCCGGUACUGACGCUGAGGUGCGAAAGCGUGGGGAGCAAACAGG